UCCUUCAAACCCAUGGGAGAUGAUGCU
rnacentral:piRNA from 1 species